rnacentral:rRNA from 1 species
UACGUAGGGUGCAAGCGUUAAUCGGAAUACUGGCGUAAGCGUGCGCAGGCGGUGAUGUAAGACAGAUGUGAAAUCCCGGGCUCAACCUGGGAACUGCAUUUGUGACUGCAUCGCUGGAGUGCGGCAGAGGGGAUGGAAUUCCGCGUGUAGCAGUGAAAUGCGUAGAUAUGCGGAGGAACACCGAUGGCGAAGGCAAUCCCCUGGGCCGCACUGACGCUCAUGCACGAAAGCGU